UACGAAGGGGGCUAGCGUUGCUCGGAAUCACUGGGCGUAAAGGGUGCGUAGGCGGUUCUGUAAGUCAGUGGUGAAAUACUCCAGCUUAACUGGAGGGGUGCCAAUGAUACUGCAGAACUUGAGUACAGAUGAGGUAGGCGGAAUUGACGGUGUAGCGGUGAAAUGCAUAGAUAUCGUCAAGAACACCUAUAGCGAAGGCAGCUUACUGGGCUGUAACUGACGCUGACAGCGCGAAAGCUAGGGGAGCGAACGGG
rnacentral:rRNA from 1 species